rnacentral:rRNA from 1 species
AUUGAACGCUGGCGGCAUGCCUUACACAUGCAAGUCGAACGGUAACGGGCCUUCGGGUGCCGACGAGUGGCGAACGGGUGAGUAAUAUAUCGGAACGUACCUUUCAGUGGGGGAUAACGUAGCGAAAGUUACGCUAAUACCGCAUAUUCUGUGCGCAGGAAAGCAGGGGACCUUCGGGCCUUGCGCUGAUUGAGCGGCCGAUAUCAGAUUAGCUAGUUGGUGAGGUAAAGGCUCACCAAGGCGAAGAUCUGUAGCGGGUCUGGGAGGAUGCUCCGCCACACUGGAACUGAGACACGGUCCAGACUCCUACGGGAGGCAGCAGUGGGGAAUUUUGGACAAUGGGGGCAACCCUGAUCCAGCCAUGCCGCGUGAGUGAAGAAGGCCUUCGGGUUGUAAAGCUCUUUCGGCCGGGAAGAAAUCGUAUGGGCUAAUACCCUGUGCGGAUGACGGUACCGGCAUAAGAAGCACCGGCUAACUACGUGCCAGCCGCCGCGGUAAUAC